UUCCAGGGCCCUGCCCAUCCUAUCAGGCAGGAGGGCUGGAAAAAGAGCCACCUCGAGCUGGGAAGGGUGCAGGGCUUCCAGCUGCAUACUUCUUUCCCCCCAACCAGGGCAGGCACAGGGUGAAAAGGAUCAGGGGUAGUUUCGCCAGGCUGACCUGCCAGCAGCACCCAAUAGCUGAUCCUCCCCCUCCCCCACCCGAGUCAAUCCCAAUAUUUAGGAAACUAAUAUUUAUUGAAGUAAGUAGUUGUCUUAUUGAAGUGGUGGUUGUCUUACUUUACCCAUGAGCAAUAGGUGCUGUUAUGUUCAUGUCACUUUGAGGAAACUGAGGCCCAGAGGGGCUUACCAACAGGUCAGAAGUCUCACAGCUGGUGGGUACAGAAGUCAAGAGAUGCCCAUGACCAAAGCAACCUUGGAAGCUACACGUUGAAGAUGGCAGAGUUGUCAGCACCUGGUGUCCAAAUGAGCCCUACUGCCAACCUGGUGUUUCCUGAGACCACUACAGGAGCAAGAACCAAACUUCUAUCGUCUCUCAGCCAGUACACAUUGUUGGACCUAUUUGUUACACCAGUUAGCCUAUCCUGACCAAUUCAAACAGCUACCAAUGUAUUGAGCACCUACUAUAUGCUAGCAACUCUCUAGUGAAUGCUCUCGUGUUCAUUACCUCAGUUAAUCCUCACAUCACUCUUAGGAGGGAGCUGCUGGUAAGUCCUCAUUUUAUAGAGGAGGAAGCUAAAACUUAGAAAGAUUAAGUUGGCCAAAGUUACCCAGUUAAUAAGUUUCAUUCUAACUGGAACGGACGGCAGAGUGACCUACAGUGGGUUUGGUACAUGUCCGAUACGCACCCCCGCCCCGGUUACUGUCACUGGGAGGUUUAGGGUGUGUUCUAGUCACACCUCAGAGACAAAUGUCUGCAGAGACAAGUGUCUGGGCCACACUAGCUAUAUUUAAAUGUAUCUGCUUUUUAGUUCCUAUUUUCCAAAAGCUCACUAGUUCCUACACAGAGUGGGGGGCACUGCACAUAUGUCAACUCUGAUAGCCCCAGACACCCUGCCGGGUGUGUAUGUACAUUGCUGAUCUGGAAGGAGGCUCUGGGCAGCUAAAUGACCCGGGCCAAGUAGAAGGAGCUGUGUCUGUUAGCCCUCACCUCCACUCUACCCCCAGGAGAAAAACUCACCUGCAUUCCACCUCUCCCUUGUCAGGUCACUUCUGACCCUCCCGGGGGUUUCUAGCAAGGCAGGGGUAGGAAUGGAGGAGCACAUGCACAUGUCCUACAUGGGCAUAUCAAUCUCUAUCACUCAGUCUGUUUUUUCAUUUCUUUAGGAAAGUAGACAGAAAAGUAGAAUGAAAGAGCAUUCCUCAGGCUCAGGGAAUAAAAGAUCAGAAAGCAUCAAGGUCAACACUGUAGGUAUCAUGGCCAACUCACUGGCUUACCCCAGGAGGAAACAGGUCCAAAGAAAAGGACUAGCUCAGUGAGUUGGGAGUUAAAAUCUGCACUUCUAAAACCCUGCAAGUGCUCUUUGCACAAACUCCUCUGCCCCAAAGCUGGGGAGAGGCUAUAGCACUCACAGUUUCAUGGCUCAGCUCAGGUAUCGCCUCCUCCAGGCAGUCUUCCUUGGCAUCUCUACCAAUUUGCUGUACUGCAGUAGUUUACUCAUUUGUCUCACUCACUAGACUAGGAGAGGGCAGAAACAAAUUCUGUCUCUGUCAUUGUUGUGUCCCCAGACCUCGGGAAACCUGGCACAUAGUAGGCACUCAGUAAAUAUCUGUGGAACUGAAUGUCCAAAUGAGCAAAUGGCUAAACUGAGUGAUUAGAUGUGCUUUUACACAUAAUAAGGCCUCAAGUCUACACAGUGCCUUCAUUUCUCAAACCAGAUAGUCUCAUAUGGGCCCCAACCCUAUGAGACCCCUGUGACAAGAAGAGUGGUAUCGAGUGUACACACACAUGCACAUGUAUACACAUGCAAACCAGCAUAAGCAGUUCCCAUUCAUGUAUAAGUAUGUAGAGACCAAUCCCCUCUUUAGCCAGCGAGAAGGAUGUCAUGAAGUGCUAUUUCCUGUUUUAUCUGCAGAAGUGGAGGCCUCCUCGACCCGAGACAGACAGGUAGACAGACAGACAGACAGAUACACACACACACACACACACACACACACACACACACACAUCUGGUCCCUCACAGGUGCAGGGCUGGUUUUCCCCUUUAGGGGGAGAGA